CCCGGCGUGCGCACGCGUGGCACGUGCGCCACAGCCGUGCCGCGCGGCGCCGUGCGCCACGGCACGCGCGCGCGCGCGCGGCUGCCGAUCCGGUGCGCGCGGCGGCGCGGGCGCGCCAAAAAGUGGCCUGGUCCUGGGUCGUUUUAUGUCCACGCGUUGCAUUUGUGGGGAUCCGGCUUCGGGUAGGUGUGGGAAGGAUAGAACCGUCGAGCUCCGCCGGCGCGCCCGGCGUCCUGUUGCCCUCGCGAGCCCCGCCGGGCUGCGGCGGGCGGCACGUGCCUUUAGGGGUCGCCCGGUGGCCCCGGCGGCGUGCGCACGCGUGGCACGUGCGCCACAGCCGUGCCGCGCGGCGCCGUGCGCCGCGGCACGCGCCGGCGCGCGCGGCUGCCGAUCCGGUGCGCGCGGCGGCGCACGCGGGCGCGCCAAAAAGUGGCCUGGUCCUGGGUCGUUUUAUGUCCACGCGUUGCAUUUGUGGGGAUCCGGCUUCGGGUAGGUGUGGGAAGGAUAGAACCGUCGAGCUCCGCCGGCGCGCCCGGCGUCCUGUUGCCCUCGCGAGCCCCGCCGGGCUGCGGCGGGCGGCACGUGCCUUUAGGGGUCGCCCGGUGGCCCCGGCGGCGUGCGCACGCGUGGCACGUGCGCCACAGCCGUGCCGCGCGGCGCCGUGCGCCGCGGCACGCGCCGGCGCGCGCGCGCUGCCGAUCCGGUGCGCGCGGCGGCGCACGCGGGCGCGCCAAAAAGUGGCCUGGUCCUGGGUCGUUUUAUGUCCACGCGUUGCAUUUGUGGGGAUCCGGCUUCGGGUAGGUGUGGGAAGGAUAGAACCGUCGAGCUCCGCCGGCGCGCCCGGCGUCCUGUUGCCCUCGCGAGCCCCGCCGGGUGCGGCGGGCGGCACGUGCCUUUAGGGGUCGCCCGGUGGCCCCGGCGGCGUGCGCACGCGUGGCACGUGCGCCACAGCCGUGCCGCGCGGCGCCGUGCGCCGCGGCACGCGCCGGCGCGCGCGCGGCUGCCGAUCCGGUGCGCGCGGCGGCGCACGCGGGCGCGCCAAAAAGUGGCCUGGUCCUGGGUCGUUUUAUGUCCACGCGUUGCAUUUGUGGGGAUCCGGCUUCGGGUAGGUGUGGGAAGGAUAGAACCGUCGAGCUCCGCCGGCGCGCCCGGCGUCCUGUUGCCCUCGCGAGCCCCGCCGGGUGCUGCGGCGGGCGGCACGUGCCUUUAGGGGUCGCCCGGUGGCCCCGUCGGCGUGCGCACGUGCGCACGUGCGCCGCGGCACGUGCCGGCGCGCUUGGCGGCCGAGCCGGUGCGCGCGGCGGCGCACGCGGGCGUGCCCAAAAGUGGCCUGGUCCUGGGUCGUUUUAUGUCCACGCGUUGCAUUUGUGGGGAUCCGGCUUCGGGUUGGUGUGGGAAGGAUAGAACCGUCGGGCUCCGCCGGCGCGCCCGGCGUCCUGUUGCCUUCGCGAGCCCCGCCGGGCGCUGUGGCGGGCGGCACGUGCCUUUAGGGUCGCCCGGUGGCCCCGUGGGCGUGCCCAAAAGUGGCCUGGUCCUGGGUCGUUUUAUGUCCACGCGUUGCAUUUGUGGGGAUCCAGCUCUGGGUACCUGUGGGAACCGGGAAACCCUCGAGACGCUCGUAGUUCCGCGCACGGCGUCCCGCCGCGUCCCCGGCCGUCCGCUGACCCCCGUCCGGCGUCGACGGGCCCCUCGGGGCCUCCGACGCACGGUCGCGCGCGGGCGCGGCGCCGGGUCGCCUCGGGCACGUGACGGCGCGUGAGUAGUGGUCUGCGCGUUGCGCCUGCGGCCUCCCCUGCCCGAGUGCAGCCGACCGCGGGCGCGGGUCGCGUCUCGUUCGUCCCCGGAUGCCGGAGGGCUCGCCCCUCGUGGUCUGUACCGCCUAGCCGGAAUGCGGCAACCUCGGAACCCCGACGACUGGGCGCCGGCUCUCCCCUCCCCAGCGGGCGGGCGAGAGGCGGCCGGUCGCGGCCCCCGUGCGUCCCCGACUCGCCCAGCGCGUGU